rnacentral:rRNA from 1 species
CGCCCGUCAAACCAUGGGAGCUGGUAAUGCCCGAAGUCGGUUUAUAAAGAAACUGCCUAAGGCAGGACUGGUGACUGGGGUUAAGUCGUAACAAGGUAUCCCUACGAGAACGUGGGGAUGGAUUACCUCCUUUCUACGGAGUACACUUGUCUUUUAUCACUAUAAAAAAAAGACUUAUAACCAAAAUUACUAGACCUAUAUUUAUUUAUAAACGUCAUGGCUUUUAUUAAUAGGUCAAAAGCUAUAUAUCUAGUUUUGAGAGAACAUUCUCUCAUAUGUUCUUUGAAAACUGAAUAGUAAAAUAUUUUUCGAUAUUUACAACGACAUCAAAAAUCAAAUUAAUGGUUAAUUUGUUUUGAUUCAUCGAGUAAGUCAUAUUUAAUAUGAUUCAUUGAAAUGUCUUAAAAUACACAUCUAAAACUAACAACAAUAGGAAAAUACUACUUUUAAAUAAGGAAGAGUUUGUGGUGGAUGCCUUGGGUCUGGAAGUCGAUGAAGGACGUGAUUACCUGCGAUAAGCCUCGUAGAGCCGGAAAUAUGCUAUGAAACGGGGAUUUCCGAAUGGGGAAACCUAACUAUGGUAAUGCAUAGUUGCUUAUGUCUGAAUACAUAGGACAUAAAGCGAGAUACCUUGUGAACUGAAACAUCUUAGUAGCAAGAGGAAAAGAAAAUAAAUAAUGAUUUCUUUAGUAGCGGCGAGCGAACGAGAAAGAGCCCAAACCAUUUUAAAUGGGGUCAUAGGACAGACUACAUAGAGUUACAAAAUUUAAUAAUAGCAGAAGCUUUUGGGAAGAAGCGGCACAGAAGGUGAUACCCCUGUAUGCGAAAUUAUUAAAUCUCUUGACUGUAUCCUGGGUAGGGCGGGGCACGUGAAACCCUGUCUGAAUUUGCCGGGACCACCCGGUAAGGCUAAAUACUAACCAGACACCGAUAGCGAACUA